GAAUGUUUCUAUUUCCAUAGUUAUGGUUUCCCUUUCACAUGGAUUAGAAAAAAAAUACAACUUAGCACAUCAAACUACUGAUUUCAUAGGUCUUAUUUAUUGCCUAGGAUGUGGCUUCUAAAAAAACCAAAUUCAUUGUAAAUUGAUUUAUGUAAAAAUAAUGUAUAAGGGUUGUAUAUGUAAAUGGUUUAAAAAAAUGAAGCGUUUCUAGAAUGACUAGUUUGAGAAACAGUGAUGUAAGCCAUUCUUUCCUAGAGUUGACUACACUGCCCACCAUUUAGCGUGGACCCGACAGAAGCAGUUAAAACCAUUUACUGUGUCUUCUGCCGCUGAAAAGGAAGAGCAGGGAAGAAAUCUUCAAGAUGAUCUCAACUCCUUUGUUAGGUUCAACCGAUGUCUGCUAAAAACGUGUGGCGUCUGGAGAGGUGGGAGCUCCAGAGCUGGAGAAGGAAGGAGAAUAAGAGAAGCCUCCUGGAAACUUUGCUGGGUUACGCUUUGGAAAACGUGGCUUAUACUAAUGGCCCAACCUAUGUGCGUUUGUAGCAAGCCUGCUCUCCACCCAAACAAACAUCACAGAAAUUAACCAGUAUCAUCCGGUGAGGCGCAAGCUGCAUGGCUGUGCGGUACAGUAUAAUACUUUACCUCUUUCCAGAGAAAGAGUUUGGAAUUUUGGUCCUGCCUCCACCCAUUUCAGAUUAAAAAGGCUGACAACAGCAGCUCCUGUGAGGAUGUGGGGAAAUGAGAACCGACUUCAUGACUGCUGGGAAUGUAAAGCUGUAGAAACACUUUAGGAAAAAGUCCUGACAGUUUCUCAUAAAGUUUAUACACUUACCAGACGAUCCAGAAGUUUCACUCCUAGGUGUGCACGUAAAAGAAAUGAAAACAUACAUCCACAAAAAGAAUUAUACAGAAAUGUUUAUUGCAGUUUUAUUUAUAACAACAACAACAACAACAGAACCCUGGAAGCAGCCCAGACGUUCACCAGAUAGUGAAUGGAUAAAGAAAUUGUGAUAUAUCCAUUCCGUGGAUAUAAAGCCAUAAAAAGAAACAAAAACUACUUUUUACGGGCAUCAGCAUGGCUGUAUCUCAAAAACAUUAUGAUGUGUGGAAGGAAAUAGAGUAAAUGGUAUCCAUGAAAUUCUACAGCCGACAAAACCAGUCUAGAGUGACAGUUCAGUGGUUGCCUGGGGCUGAAGGUAGACAUGGAGGACUUUUUGCCUUUUUUUUUUUUUUGUGGUACGCGGGCCUCUCACUGCCGUGGCCUCU